UCCACCGCGAAGGGCACCGUGGAUACUUUGGUGGCUCGCGUCCAGUCGAGAGUGGACCAAGCCAGGAGGAGGAAAUCUUGGACGAGGCUGUGGAGGCGGAAGGGACCCAGAGGCAGAGGAUAACUCAGAGGUCAGGGAUGCAUGCAGCCGGGAGUUCUCCUCUACCCCGCAGGAGGCUAGCCAGUCACAGCUGUCAGAGCUUGGUGAAGUGCAAACAGGAGAGGAGGCCCCUGAUAUGCCCUUGGGAUCCCAGCCUCCCUCUUUGUUAUCGCCGGCUGAAUGGCUGCUCAGAAUUAGAAAGCGGCCGUGAAGAACUAAAGAGAACUUUCUGCAUGAGGUCAUGAUGCACUCUGUGGCCGAAAAACAAGAAUUUAAGGAGUGGCCGGACAGCGAGAAGAGGGACUGAAAGGAGAAUGCAGUGUGCCAGAACAAAGCCAUGGAGCGGCUCUUAAACAUUAUGGAGUGCCAAGCAGACACGCUCCUGGUGCUACUAGCACUGCAAACCGAGCAGCUCUGCGCCUGCCCUCUCCUGCAGCCACUGUCGCAAAACUCUUUCCCAUGCACCCCCCCAGACACGCCAACACACUCUUAGCAACCUCCUGGCUCUAGUCCAUACCCGUUGCAUUCCACUCCUGCCCCAUCACAGUCCAGCUCUGCGGACGCCCAGUACCCAGUGCACUCAACACCCGUCUCUCUGCAGUUUUGCCCUGCUGAAGUACAGUACCCACUGCACUGUACUCCAGAGGUUAAGGUUGCAUAUGAUACUUGGACAUACACAAAUCCUUGGACUCUACCUCCUCAUGGGACCCUCCCUUCCCCCAUCCCCAACAGUGCUGAUGUGGUGUUUUUUUGUUUUUUUUCUCUCCUCUGAUGGUUGCUUUUUAAUAAAAGAAUAGUUUUGGUUUGAAAGGCAAACAGCCUUGCAAAGAAA